CCUAUAGAUUCGAACCUAAGCUGAUAGUAUGGAACAAUCUUUCUAUACCAACUAAAGUGACCAUUUAGCAAUGAUACUCGACGUUCAGAUAGGUCGAAAGAUUGCGAAGCAUCAUUCAAGAACUUAUUGGCAUAUGGUUACCGUAUAAUUCAUCCCUUUGACCCAAAUGCUCAAGGUGAUCUAAGGUUUAACUGUCAAUCCUGAUAUGGUCAUCCACAUUAUAUUUUAAUUUUUAAAAUCUAUCACACAGAUUACUCUGAUCG
rnacentral:lncRNA from 1 species